CGGAGAUUUAGGGUAGCUUGCUACCCGAAGAUCUUAGUGGCGGACGGGUGAGUAACGCGUGGGCAAUCUGCCCGUAAGCAGGGGAUAACACUUAGAAAUGAGUGCUAAUACCGCAUAACAUUGUUGGGAUGCAUAUCCCGAUAAUCAAAGGAGAAAUCCGCUUACGGAUGAGCCCGCGUCUGAUUAGCUAGUUGGUAGGGUAACGGCCUACCAAGGCGACGAUCAGUAGCCGGCCUGAGAGGGUGAACGGCCACACUGGAACUGAGACACGGUCCAGACUCCUACGGGAGGCAGCAGUGGGGAAUCUUCCGCAAUGGGCGCAAGCCUGACGGAGCAACGCCGCGUGAGUGAUGACGGCCUUCGGGUUGUAAAACUCUGUCUUCAGGGAAGAAAAAAAUGACGGUACCUGAGGAGGAAGCCACGGCUAACUACGUGCCAGCAGCCGCGGUAAUACGUAGGUGGCAAGCGUUGUCCGGAAUUACUGGGCGUAAAGAGCGCGUAGGCGGGAAUUUAAGUCAGGAGUGAAAACUGGCGGCUCAACUGCCAGCCUGCUCUUGAAACUGGAUUUCUUGAGGGUAUGAGAGGAAAGCGGAAUUCCCAGUGUAGCGGUGAAAUGCGUAGAUAUUGGGAGGAACACCAGUGGCGAAGGCGGCUUUCUGGCAUACAACUGACGCUGAGGCGCGAAAGCGUGGGGAGCAAACGGGAUUAGAUACCCCGGUAGUCCACGCCGUAAACGAUGGGUACUAGGUGUAGGAGGUAUCGACCCCUUCUGUGCCGUAGUUAACACAAUAAGUACCCCGC
rnacentral:rRNA from 1 species